rnacentral:lncRNA from 1 species
GAUGAUUCUUUUGACGUUACGCGCGACAUGAUUUAUGGUCCGCAGGUUUAUUCACAAAUGUGAGUCACGGCGCCGUGGCAUUUUACUUGAUAUUAGAACGAGUACGGGAGGUGCAGUGCGCACGCACAAGGAAACAAAUGACGGGAUGAGGAAGAAAAGAGGAGUGUAUCUAUUUGAAGCGCAAAAUUAAACAAGUGGCAUCAUACCAGCGCUACUGCACUGGAUCCCAUCAGAAC